AUACUUACCUGGCAGUGGAGAUACCACGAUCACGAAGGUGGUUAUCCCAGUGUGAGGCUUGUCCAUUGCACUCCGGAUGUGCUGACCCCUACCAUUUCCCCAAAUGUGGGAAAUUCGACUGCAUAAUUUGUGGUAGUGGGGAACUGCGUUUCUGCUUUCCCCUG
ensembl:snRNA U1 U1 spliceosomal RNA